ACGGAGGGGGCUAGCGUUGUUCGGAAUUACUGGGCGUAAAGCGCACGUAGGCGGCGAUUUAAGUCAGGGGUGAAAGCCCAGUGCUCAACACUGGAACUGCCUUUGAGACUGGAUUGCUUGAAUCACGGAGAGGUGGGUGGAAUUCCGAGUGUAGAGGUGAAAUUCGUAGAUGUUCGGAAGAACACCAGUGGCGAAGGCGGCCCACUGGACGUGUAUUGACGCUGAGGUGCGAAAGCGUGGGGAGCAAACAGGA
rnacentral:rRNA from 1 species